GUGCAAACUUAGUUUCCUCUUCCUCCUCCCCCGAACGAAUUGUUAAGUAUUCUCCUCUCUUCCUUCCGUCCCAUAGUCCCACUCACUCUUCUUCCUCCAUCGCCCGUCCUCUCUCUCCCUUCCCUCCCAUGAUUGGUAAAACGUGAAAACAAGUCAGAAAGGAAACGAGGAGAGCAUAGUAGUUGCAGUUGGCUGCCACAGUCGAUUCCGGCGGUCUCGAUGUCGCUCGGACCAAAGAGGCAUCACCUAUACUCUAUGGAACUUUCCUUUUAACCCCAAAUUGUUUCGGAAUAUUCCUUUUUCAACCAAAAUUUUACUGUUUGCAAUCUUUUAGAGCUUUCAUAUAUCAGUAUAGAUUUUGAAAUUCUCAAAAUGGCUUGGAUUUUAUACCGAUCUAAGCUGAAACUUCUAUCACAUCAGUUCAAGAGAUGCUACGUUCAAACUCCUUAUGCCUCUUUCCUUAAUUACACUACUAAAAGCUCAAAAUCAUGCCCAUCAGAAUAUCCAAUUUGGGACAUUUGUAAGAAAUCUAUUUGUAGGAGACCCACUGAUUUUUGCAACAAUGUCAGGUUUUUUGCUGCCCCAGUUCAGGUCAAGGCAAAGAAGGAAGAGGACGCUGGUGGGCCACGUUUAAAUGACAACAUCAAAGCUCAGUUUGUUAGGCUGGUAACUGAUGAAGGGCAUGGUGUUGUCUCACUGCGUGAAGCACUGGAAUUAGCAGAGAAACUCAAACUUGAUUUAGUUGAGGUUGAUAGAAAUGCGGAUCCACCUGUUUGUAAAAUCAUGGACUUUCACAAGGAGCAGUACAAACGACAUGUGGUGGAAAAGGACCGUGCUAAAAGCAAGUCAGAGGUGACGUUAAGGAAAGGCGACUGCAAAGAAGUUCGAUUUUCUGAGAAAACAGAACAAAAGGACCUGAAGAUGAAAGCAGAUUCCGUAUUAAGGCUGAUUCAGCGUGGUUAUCGAGUGAAGUGUAUGGUCUUACGUUCAUCAAAGAAGGGCUCUGGUAGAAAGGAUUCUGAUGAUGAAGAUCUAACUGAAGAAGAAAUAGCCGAGAGGAAAAGACAAGAAGAAAAAGAGGAGGAGGAAUCAAAAGCAUUGCUAUCUCGUCUCACUGCUUUGAUCCAAGAUGAAUUUGUUGUGGAGAGUGGACCAAGGGUGGAGAAAAGACAAGCAUUUGUGAUUAUUAGGCAUGCCAAGUUUGGGCCAUUGAAGAAAGGUAGUGCAAAAAAGUUGGAUGCUGAAAAGGUCACCAUUUCACAGCCAACUGCCAACCAUUCUAGUAUGCAUUGUAGAGAGGAGAUGUAUCGUCCAUCACAAGCUGAUUCCCCUAAGAUGAACUUUAAUAGUCCACACGUAUCGCAUCCUAGACCAGUAGAUGAUUCUAAACAAGCAGACAGACUUCCAUCCUCAUCACAACCUUCCCUUGAGACUGAAAACAGGUAUAGAAGAAGUGAACCAAGGGAGCGGUUCCCACCCCCUUCAUCAGGGGAUAGUAGGGGACCAGAUAAGACGGAGUCCUUCAGGUUUGGAUCCCAAUUCUCACAUCCAAAUGGGCACACACAGUCAGAGAUAACUGUUGCUCCCUCAGUGAGAGAAGGGAAACCGAUUCAGAUUGAUUCCUUUGCUUUUGGAAACAGAAAGCUUCCUCGGGCUGAAAUGCUCAAGCAAGACCCUAAUCGUCCUGAUGCUACCAGUACCCAGUCAUCCAACUAUGGAAUAUUUAGCUCCCCAAAUGCGGCUACUCCCAGAAAACAAGGUGUGACAGCAGAAUUUAAUAACAACAGGGAAGGAAUCCCUUAUAAUUCUAGCAAAAAUCCCAACACAGGAGGGUUUGCAGCAGAUCCUAGGUUCUCAACUUCAAAACCCUAUGGUGACCGAAGGCCAGGCGAUGAUGGUAGCAGACAAGGGAGAUGGGGGAGGUUCAGUAGAGAUGGCUCAAAUAUAAAUCCAAAUAGGAUAUCGAAGUAUCAGUAGCAUUUUUUGUUUGGUUAGAUUUGUAAAGCAGCCUUUGAUAUUAGAGCUGCAGAAUCUUUUUUGAUGCAUCUGGCAGAACCAAUUAUUUAUUCGUUUGCUUAAGUAGCAAAUGCAUGAAGGUAUUGUUUUAUAGCUGACAGCUAAUUAAACUCAUAAAUGUCCUGAAGGUUAAUGGAGGAUGUUAUUGGUUAUCCAACUUAUUUUUAAAGUAGUUUAUUUGCCUUUAGAUUCUAACCUAUUGUUUUGAGGAGAUAUGCAGUUAUCAGCUGUUAGCUAAGCAUGCCUUCACCACUUUUUGUUGGGAGACUGAUUUGAUUUCAUUUACCUGUAUAAUGUCGAAUUCAAGCAUCUAAACUUUGAUAGGUUUGAUGUGUUCCGUAAUUUGUAGAUGGAUAUCUG
rnacentral:misc_RNA from 1 species